rnacentral:rRNA from 1 species
CGGGGCGGCAGACUACACAUGCAAGUCGAGCGAGCUCUUCGGAGCUAGCGGCGGACGGGUUAGUAACGCGUGGGAACGUGCCCUUCACUGCGGAAUAGCCACUGGAAACGGUGAGUAAUACCGCAUACGCCCUUCGGGGGAAAGAUUUAUCGGUGAAGGAUCGGCCCGCGUUAGAUUAGAUAGUUGGUGGGGUAACGGCCUACCAAGUCUACGAUCUAUAGCUGGUUUUAGAGGAUGAUCAGCAACACUGGGACUGAGACACGGCCCAGACUCCUACGGGAGGCAGCAGUGGGGAAUCUUGGACAAUGGGCGCAAGCCUGAUCCAGCCAUGCCGCGUGAGUGAUGAAGGCCUUAGGGUCGUAAAGCUCUUUCGCCAGAGAUGAUAAUGACAGUAUCUGGUAAAGAAACCCCGGCUAACUCCGUGCCAGCAGCCGCGGUAAUACGGAGGGGGUUAGCGUUGUUCGGAAUUACUGGGCGUAAAGCGCACGUAGGCGGAUCAGAAAGUUGGGGGUGAAAUCCCGGGGCUCAACCCCGGAACUGCCUCCAAAACUCCUGGUCUUGAGUUCGAGAGAGGUGAGUGGAAUUCCGAGUGUAGAGGUGAAAUUCGUAGAUAUUCGGAGGAACACCAGUGGCGAAGGCGGCUCACUGGCUCGAUACUGACGCUGAGGUGCGAAAGUGUGGGGAGCAAACAGGAUUAGAUACCCU